rnacentral:rRNA from 2 species
GGACUACAAGGGUAUCUAAUCCUGUUUGCUCCCCACGCUUUCGUGCCUGAGCGUCAGUGUCAGCCCAGGGGGCUGCCUUCGCCAUCGGUGUUCCUCCACAUCUCUACGCAUUUCACUGCUACACGUGGAAUUCCACCCCCCUCUGCCACACUCCAGCUCGCCAGUUUCCACUGCCAUUCCCAGGUUGAGCCCGGGGCUUUCACAGCAGACACAACGAACCGCCUGCGCACGCUUUACGCCCAGUAAUUCCGAUUAACGCUCGCACCCUACGUAUUACCGCGGCUGCUGGCAC